rnacentral:rRNA from 1 species
GAUGAACGUUAGCGGCGCGCUUAACACAUGCAAGUCGAACGAGAAAGGGCUUCGGCCCCGGUACAGUGGCGCACGGGUGAGUAACACGUGGGUAACCUUCCCUCGAGCGGGGGAUAACGUUCCGAAAGGAACGCUAAUACCGCAUAAGACCACGGGCUCGAAAGAGCCUGGGGUAAAAGUAGGUCGCUGAAUUCACGCUUACACUCGCGGAGUGGCCCGCGGGCCAUCAUGGUAGUUGGUAGGGUAACGGCCUACCAAGCCGAAGACGGGUGAGUGGUCGUAGAGAAUGAUCAGCCACAAGGGAACUGGGAGACGGUCCAGAAUCCUACGGGAGGCAGCAGUGGGGAAUCUUGCGCAAUGGGCGAAAGCCUGACGCAGCGACGCCGCGUGGGUGAUGAAGGCCUUCGGGCUGUAAAGCUCUGUGGGGAGAGACGAAUAAGACGUGGCUAACAUCCACGGCGAUGACGGUAUCUCCUUAGCAAGCACCGGCUAACUCUGUGCCAGCCGCCGCCGUAACAC